rnacentral:lncRNA from 1 species
CGAGGAGGCAGAACUGGAAUAUAAUUUAAGGACAGUGGUGAUGAGCUGUGUUCGCAAUGGGGGCACAUGAUGUUGGUGUUUCCUAAGCCAAUCCUUUGCCAUUGCACAGAAGUCAGAGAUGGUGACACAUUAGGUCAACCCAUGGCACCAUGAUAUAUCAGAACAGAAACAUAAAUCAUAUUACUGAAAUCAUAUAUCUGGAGUUGGGUGGUCCUUGACAUAUACAUACACUAUAUCAACAACCCAGAAAGAAGGCGGUCUCUUCAUCCGAGUGGCCUGAGACAAAUGGCAUGCAGAAUUUGUUGUCCUUGCUUUCCAUGAGAAGUCCACUCCCACUAAGUACUUUGAGAUUUGUUAUGAAAACUUUAUUAAAUGUAUCACAAGUGAGAUGGAGGGGUUUGACUCAGUCCUCCAGAUCUUUAUCACCUUGUGUGCUUUUCACUAUCUUCUUGCUCCUAUUCUCCCUCCUCCUUAUCCUUUUCCUCCUUGGAUGAUCUGUAUCUUUCCAGUGAAGCACAGCCCUUAAACCCAUAUACACCACUAAACUCCAUGCUCCAUAAAACCAAAGGGUCUGCUUUUCUUUAAGAGACUAUUCAGCAACCAUGUAUUGUUCCUCUUGUACAUCAGUUAAGGCUCAUCUCUCACCCCCAACUGCUAAUUGCUUAAUCUUUCUGCAGAUAACUCUAUUAAAUAAAAUGUUCUUUCUUUUUCUGUUUAUAAAUAUUGCUUUUCAUUACCC